GACGAACGCUGGCGGCGUGCUUAACACAUGCAAGUCGAACGGAAAGGCCCUGCUUUUGUGGGGUGCUCGAGUGGCGAACGGGUGAGUAACACGUGAGUAACCUGCCCUUGACUUUGGGAUAACUUCAGGAAACUGGGGCUAAUACCGGAUAGGAGCUCCUGCUGCAUGGUGGGGGUUGGAAAGUUUCGGCGGUUGGGGAUGGACUCGCGGCUUAUCAGCUUGUUGGUGGGGUAGUGGCUUACCAAGGCUUUGGCGGCUAGCCGGCCUGAGAGGGUGACCGGCCACAUUGGGACUGAGAUACGGCCCAGACUCCUACGGGAGGCAGCAGUGGGGAAUAUUGCACGAUGGGCGGAAGCCUGAUGCAGCAACGCCGCGUGCGGGAUGACGGCCUUCGGGUUGUAAACCGCUUUCGCCUGUGACGAAGCGUGAGUGACGGUAAUGGGUAAAGAAGCACCGGCUAACUACGUG
rnacentral:rRNA from 1 species